AGCGAACGCUGGCGGCAGGCCUAACACAUGCAAGUCGAACGGAUCCUUCGGGAUUAGUGGCGGACGGGUGAGUAACACGUGGGAACGUGCCCUUUGGUUCGGAACAACUCAGGGAAACUUGAGCUAAUACCGGAUGUGCCCUUCGGGGGAAAGAUUUAUCGCCAUUGGAGCGGCCCGCGUCUGAUUAGCUAGUUGGUGAGGUAACGGCCCACCAAGGCGACGAUCAGUAGCUGGUCUGAGAGGAUGAUCAGCCACACUGGGGCUGAGACACGGCCCAGACUCCUACGGGAGGCAGCAGUGGGGAAUCUUGCGCAAUGGGCGAAAGCCUGACGCAGCCAUGCCGCGUGAAUGAUGAAGGUCUUAGGAUUGUAAAAUUCUUUCAGCGGGGACGAUAAUGACGGUACCCGCAGAAGAAGCUCCGGCUAACUUCGUG
rnacentral:rRNA from 1 species